rnacentral:rRNA from 1 species
GCGAAUGGCUCAUUAAAUCAGUUAUCGUUUAUUUGAUAGUACCUUACUACUUGGAUAACCGUGGUAAUUCUAGAGCUAAUACAUGCUAAAAAUCCCGACUUCGGAAGGGAUGUAUUUAUUAGAUUAAAAACCAAUGCCCUUUGGGCUCACUGGUGAUUCAUGAUAACUUCUCGAAUCGCAUGGCCUUGCGCCGGCGAUGGUUCAUUCAAAUUUCUGCCCUAUCAACUUUCGACGGCUGGGUCUUGGCCAGCCAUGGUGACAACGGGUAACGGAGGGUUAGGGCUCGACCCCGGAGAAGGAGCCUGAGAAACGGCUACUACAUCCAAGGAAGGCAGCAGGCGCGCAAAUUACCCAAUCCCGACACGGGGAGGUAGUGACAAUACAUACUGAUACAGGGCUCUUUUGGGUCUUGUAAUUGGAAUGAGUACAAUUUAAAUCCCUUAACGAGGAACAAUUGGAGGGCAAGUCUGGUGCCAGCAGCCGCGGUAAUUCCAGCUCCAAUAGCGUAUAUUAAAGUUGUUGCGGUUAAAAAGCUCGUAGUUGAACCUUGGGCCUGGCUGGCCGGUCCGCCUCACCGCGUGCACUGGUACGGUCGGGCCUUUCCCUCUGGGGAACCGCAUGCCCUUCACUGGGUGUGUCGGGGAACCAGGACUUUUACUUUGAAAAAAUUAGAGUGUUCAAAGCAGGCUUAUGCUCGGAUACAUUAGCAUGGAAUAAUAGAAUAGGACGUGCGGUUCUAUUUUGUUGGUUUCUAGGACCGCCGUAAUGAUUAAUAGGGACAGUCGGGGGCAUCAGUAUUCAAUUGUCAGAGGUGAAAUUCUUGGAUUUAUUGAAGACUAACUACUGCGAAAGCAUUUGCCAAGGAUGUUUUCAUUAAUCAGGAACGAAAGUUAGGGGAUCGAAGACGAUCAGAUACCGUCGUAGUCUUAACCAUAAACUAUGCGAACUAGGGAUCGGACGAUGUUAUUAUUUGACUCGUUCGGCACCC